rnacentral:rRNA from 1 species
GAUGAACGCUGGCGGCGUGCCUAAUACAUGCAAGUCGAGCGAACAGACGAGGAGCUUGCUCCUCUGACGUUAGCGGCGGACGGGUGAGUAACACGUGGAUAACCUACCUAUAAGACUGGGAUAACUUCGGGAAACCGGAGCUAAUACCGGACAAUAUAUUGAACCGCAUGGUUCAAUAGUGAAAGACGGUUUUGCUGUCACUUAUAGAUGGAUCCGCGCCGCAUUAGCUAGUUGGUAAGGUAACGGCUUACCAAGGCAACGAUGCGUAGCCGACCUGAGAGGGUGAUCGGCCACACGGGAACUGAGACACGGUCCAGACUCCUACGGGAGGCAGCAGUAGGGAAUCUUCCGCAAUGGGCGAAAGCCUGACGGAGCAACGCCGCGUGAGUGAUGAAGGUCUUCGGAUCGUAAAACUCUGUUAUUAGGGAAGAACAAAUGUGUAAGUAACUAUGCACGUCUUGACGGUACCUAAUCAGAAAGCCACGGCUAACUACGUG